ACGUAGACAGCAAGCGUUGUUCGGAGUUACUGGGCGUAAAGAGUGCGUAGGCGGUCCUCUAAGUUCGGUGUGACAUCUCCCUUCUCCCCUGGGAGGGUGCGCCGGAAACUGGGGGGCUUGAGUAUGGGAGAGGAAAGGGGAAUUCCUGGUGUAGCGGGGAAAUGCGAUAAUAGCAGGCGGAACACCUGGGGAGCAGGCGGCGCACUGGACAAUAACUGACGCUGAGUCACGAAAGCGAGUGGAGCGCACAG
rnacentral:rRNA from 1 species